UUUAUUUAUGUUUCUCUUCCAUGUGCAUGUUGUGUGAUUUUAGAUAUUCAUAAAAUUAUUUUCCUGAUCAUCAUAACACUGAUUCUUAUCCUGUAUGCUCUGACUGUUGGAUUUGGACUUUACAAAAUUAGACAAUUGAGCAGCAAGCUGAAGGUUCACAAUGAUGCAGGCACAUAUGCUUCUCUUCAGCUCUCUGCUCCGGUGUCUGAAUAUGAGACUUUGAAUAUUAAGAAAGAUAACACACAGUAAACAACAAAUAAACAUUUGGUAA